rnacentral:rRNA from 1 species
CUUCCGUAGGGGAACCUGCGGAAGGAUCAUUACCGAGUGCGGGUCUUUAUGGCCCAACCUCCCACCCGUGACUAUUGUACCUUGUUGCUUCGGCGGGCCCGCCAGCGUUGCUGGCCGCCGGGGGGCGACUCGCCCCCGGGCCCGUGCCCGCCGGAGACCCCAACAUGAACCCUGUUCUGAAAGCUUGCAGUCUGAGUGUGAUUCUUUGCAAUCAGUUAAAACUUUCAACAAUGGAUCUCUUGGUUCCGGCAUCGAUGAAGAACGCAGCGAAAUGCGAUAACUAAUGUGAAUUGCAGAAUUCAGUGAAUCAUCGAGUCUUUGAACGCACAUUGCGCCCCCUGGUAUUCCGGGGGGCAUGCCUGUCCGAGCGUCAUUGCUGCCCUCAAGCCCGGCUUGUGUGUUGGGCCCUCGUCCCCCGGCUCCCGGGGGACGGGCCCGAAAGGCAGCGGCGGCACCGCGUCCGGUCCUCGAGCGUAUGGGGCUUCGUCUUCCGCUCCGUAGGCCCGGCCGGCGCCCGCCGACGCAUUUAUUUGCAACUUGUUUUUUUCCAGGUUGACCUCGGAUCAGGUAGGGAUACCCGCUGAACUUAAGCAUAUCAAUAAGCGGAGGAA